AUGGAGGACGACCAUCGCUUGCCCCGGGUAUUCCAAGGUUUCAAGAGACUAACUUACCUCAGCCUGAGCAUUUUCUCCUCCACGGACAGGGAUAUCCAAAAUUUGAUCUCCUUUUGCCCUGAACUGACUGAUUUGAGAUUAACUUCUUUUGAGGGCAUCAACUGUCUAAACAUUCAAGCCCCUAAACUGGAAUAUCUUUGUGUUGUUGGGGACAUUGAAGACAUUAAUUUGGAUGCCCCUAAUCUGGACGAGGCCAUUCUCUGUCUUGAUCAGAAAGCUAAAUCGUAUCAAUCUGUUCCAGUUGCGCAUAACAAGGAAAGCAAUGUCACGUCAUUGGAAAGCCUAAGUGGCAUUAAAAAACUUGGAAUUAUUGGCACUUUCAUGAAGGGGUGCAUACUUACGAAGCUCCCUGCCGUGUUUACUCGCCUGGAAGAUAUUGGUUUUAUGAUAAAUUUUGAGGAUCAGAGACAAGUCUUGACCGCGUGUUCAUUGUUACAGAAUGCCCCUAACUUGAAGAAGCUUCUCAUGUGGAGUGACUCUUCGAGCACAUGGGAUCAGGAUCAGGCCAGCAUUCAAGAGCUUACCCUGCAAAUGCAAAUGGACCAUCUCAUAACGGCCUGUGUGAAAUGUUUCCAGGGUUUGGACUACGAAGUCGAGUUCGUGGGAAAGCUAUUGAGCUGUGCACCUGCUUUGGAAGAAUUGAAAAUAGAGUGGGAGGGUGAAAUGGCCCGCAGCAUUGUUCUUACCAAGCUAUUAGCUCUGCCGAGGGUGUCUCCCAGGGCCAAGAUCAUUGUUACAUGA
rnacentral:rRNA from 1 species